AUUCGGCUGACGAGUCCCUAAUAGGACGAAAUGCGCGUAUUGAAU
rnacentral:hammerhead_ribozyme from 1 species